GACGAACGCUGGCGGCGUGCUUAACACAUGCAAGCCGAACGGAAAGGCCCUGCUUGCCGGGUACUCGAGUGGCGAACGGGUGAGUAACACGUGGGUGAUCUGCCCUGCACUUCGGGAUAAGCCUGGGAAACUGGGUCUAAUACCGGAUAGGAGCCAUUUUUAGUGUGAUGGUUGGAAAGUUUUUUCGGUGUAGGAUGAGCUCGCGGCCUAUCAGCUUGUUGGUGGGGUAAUGGCCUACCAAGGCGGCGACGGGUAGCCGGCCUGAGAGGGUGGACGGCCACAUUGGGACUGAGAUACGGCCCAGACUCCUACGGGAGGCAGCAGUGGGGAAGAUUGCACAAUGGGCGCAAGCCUGAUGCAGCGACGCCGCGUGGGGGAGGACGGCCUUCGGGUUGUAAACUCCUUUCGCUAGGGACGAAGCUUUUUGUGACGGUACCUAGAGAAGAAGCACCGGCUAACUACGUG
rnacentral:rRNA from 1 species